rnacentral:rRNA from 1 species
AGUGAACGCUGGCGGUAGGCCUAACACAUGCAAGUCGAACGGCAGCACAGGAGAGCUUGCUCUCUGGGUGGCGAGUGGCGGACGGGUGAGGAAUACAUCGGAAUCUACUCUGUCGUGGGGGAUAACGUAGGGAAACUUACGCUAAUACCGCAUACGACCUACGGGUGAAAGCAGGGGACCUUCGGGCCUUGCGCGAUUGAAUGAGCCGAUGUCGGAUUAGCUAGUUGGCGGGGUAAAGGCCCACCAAGGCGACGAUCCGUAGCUGGUCUGGGAGGUAGAUCAGCCACACUGGAACUGAGACACGGUCCAGACUCCUACGGGAGGCAGCAGUGGGGAAUAUUGGACAAUGGGCGCAAGCCUGAUCCAGCCAUACCGCGUGGGUGAAGAAGGCCUUCGGGUUGUAAAGCCCUUUUGUUGGGAAAGAAAUCCAGCUGGCUAAUACCCGGUUGGGAUGACGGUACCCAAAGAAUAGGCACCGGCUAACUUCGUGCCAGCCGCCGCCGUAA